rnacentral:rRNA from 1 species
UACGGAGGAUGCGAGCGUUAUCCGGAUUUAUUGGGUUUAAGGGGUGCGCAGGCGGUCUGUUAAGUCAGCGGUCAAAGCACGGGGCUCAACCCCGGCCCGCCGUUGAAACUGUCGGACUAGAGACGGCGAGAAGUACGCGGAAUGCGCGGUGUAGCGGUGAAAUGCAUAGAUAUCACGCAGAACCCCGAUUGCGAAGGCAGCAUACCGGCGCCCUACUGACGCUGAGGCACGAAAGUGCGGGUAUCGAACAGG